UGCCGGGUCGUCUAAUGGUAGGAUCCAUGCCUCUGGAGCAUGUUAUCGGGGUUCGAGUCCCUGCCCGGCAG
rnacentral:tRNA from 1 species